rnacentral:rRNA from 1 species
UACGUAGGGUGCGAGCGUUGUCCGGAAUUAUUGGGCGUAAAGGGCUCGUAGGCGGCUCGUUGCGUCGGCUGUGAAAACCCACAACUCAACUGUGGGCCUGCAGCCGAUACGGGUGAGCUGGAGUUCGGUAGGGGAGACUGGAAUUCCUGGUGUAGCGGUGAAAUGCGCAGAUAUCAGGAGGAACACCGGUGGCGAAGGCGGGUCUCUGGGCCGAUACUGACGCUGAGGAGCGAAAGCGUGGGGAGCGAACAGG